GUUUGCCAAGUUGAGAUGGUAGGUGAAAGGCCUUACAUUGUGUUGCUGAAGGAUCGAGAGAAAGAUAAAGCCAAAGAGAAAGAGAAGGAGAAGGAGAAGGACAAAGCAUUGGAGAAAGAUAAAUCACACUCAAAUGAGGGGAAGGCUACUUUGGGCAAUAUAAACACACUGGCACCAGGGAAUGUGCAUGGAAAACUUCAUGAUUCGUAUUCCAAGAGUGCUAAAGUACACCGAAAAUCUCC
rnacentral:misc_RNA from 1 species